rnacentral:rRNA from 1 species
UACGUAGGUGGCAAGCGUUGUCCGGAAUUAUUGGGCGUAAAGCGCGCGCAGGCAGUCCUUUAAGUCUGAUGUGAAAGCCCACGGCUCAACCGUGGAGGGUCAUUGGAAACUGGGGGACUUGAGUACAGAAGAGAAGAGUGGAAUUCCACGUGUAGCGGUGAAAUGCGUAGAGAUGUGGAGGAACACCAGUGGCGAAGGCGACUCUUUGGUCUGUAACUGACGCUGAGGCGCGAAAGCGUGGGGAGCAAACAGG